ensembl:ncRNA
UGUCAUGGAAUUGCUCUCUUUGU